CGAGAAGACCUGUGGAGCUUUAGACACCAAGGCAGACCAUGUUAAACACCCCUAAAUAAAGGGCCAAGCCAAAUGAAUCCUGCCCUAAUGUCUUUGGUUGGGGCGACCAAGG
rnacentral:rRNA from 1 species